rnacentral:rRNA from 1 species
AUUGAACGCUAGCGGCAUGCUUUACACAUGCAAGUCGAACGAGUGGCGGACGGGUGAGUAAUAUAUCGGCACGUGCCCAGUAGCGGGGGGUCACUACUCGAAAGAGUGGCUAAUACCGCAUACUCUUGUCACGGCCGAUAUCGGAUUAGCUAGUUGGUGGGGUAAAGGCUCACCAAGGCAACGAUCCGUAGCUGGUUUGAGAGGACGACCAGCCACACUGGGACUGAGACACGGCCCAGACUCCUACGGAAGGCAGCAGUGGGGAAUUUUGGAAAAGGGGGGAAACCCUGAUCCAGCAAUCCCGCGUGUAUGAGAAGGCCUUCGGGUUGUAAAGUACUUUUGGCAGAGAAGCGGUAUCUGCAGAAGAAGCACCGGCUAACUACGUGCCAGCAGCCGCGGUAAUUC